AGAGAGCAGCCCAGCCUGAAAGUCCAGUUCAGUAAAUGGGUGGAGAGGAAACGAAAAUUUCUCCUCAGCAAAGCCAAUGUUGAAGACAACGGCCUCAAAGCUCAGAUGAGCUCAUUGACUCACCUGGGCAGGUGACUGUCCUGGUGCGCCAGUGCCCUGCCGAUGGACAAAUCCAAGAAGAAUAAACAGAUGCUGCCCAAAGCAACCAUGGGCCCUACACCCAAAGGUGAGGAUGAGUCUCCUAAAGCUUCUGCUCAUGACUUUUCAAGGUGCAGCGUGGCCUCCCACGAGGUGACCCCGCCAAGGGAAAGUGGCCUCCAGGGUCUGUAGAUCAGCUUCGCCAGAGUGUGGGCAGUCAUUUCACAGGUUCAGAGUCUUCCAGCUGGAAGGGACGUGUUGGCCUCCCACCCAGGGAGGCAGGACAAGCGGCUUUGGCAUGAAUUUCUCCUGUCCCUGGUGAUUUAUCUCCAUUUUUCUUUGGAA